rnacentral:rRNA from 1 species
AUCCUGGCUCAGAGCGAACGCUGGCGGCAGGCUUAACACAUGCAAGUCGAGCGGGCGUAGCAAUACGUCAGCGGCAGACGGGUGAGUAACGCGUGGGAACGUACCUUUUGGUUCGGAACAACACAGGGAAACUUGUGCUAAUACCGGAUAAGCCCUUACGGGGAAAGAUUUAUCGCCGAAAGAUCGGCCCGCGUCUGAUUAGCUAGUUGGUGAGGUAAUGGCUCACCAAGGCGACGAUCAGUAGCUGGUYUGAGAGGAUGAUCAGCCACAUUGGGACUGAGACACGGCCCAAACUCCUACGGGAGGCAGCAGUGGGGAAUAUUGGACAAUGGGGGCAACCCUGAUCCAGCCAUGCCGCGUGAGUGAUGAAGGCCCUAGGGUUGUAAAGCUCUUUUGU